UAGGGAAUCUUCGGCAAUGGGGGGAACCCUGACCGAGCAACGCCGCGUGAGUGAAGAAGGUUUUCGGAUCGUAAAGCUCUGUUGUUAAGGAAGAACGAGUGUGAGAAUGGAAAGUUCAUACUGUGACGGUACUUAACCAGAAAGGGACGGCUAACUACGUGCCAGCAGCCGCGGUAAUACGUAGGUCCCGAGCGUUGUACGGAUUUAUUGGGCGUAAAGCGAGCGCCGGCGGUUAGAGAAGUCUGAAGUUAAAGGCAGUGGCUCAAACAUUGUAGGGUUUGGAAACUGUUUAACUGGAGGGCAGAAGGGGAGAGUGGAAUUACAUGGGUAGAGGUGAAAUGCGUAGAUAUAUGGAGGAACACCGGUGGCGAAGGCGGCUAUCUGGUCUGUAACUGACGCUGAGGCUCGAAAGCGUGGGGAGCGAACAGG
rnacentral:rRNA from 1 species